rnacentral:ncRNA from 1 species
AUGCGUGCAUUUAUCAGAUCAAAACCAACCUGGUCAGCCUCAUCCCGGCCCUGGCUGGGGGUGUGGGCGCCGGUGGCUUUGGUGACUCUAGAUAACCUCGGGUUGAUUGCACGCCCCCUGUGGUGGUGAUGACCCAUUUGAACAUCUGCCCUAUCAACUUUUGAUGGUAGUUGCUGUGCCUACCAUGGUCACCAUGUGUGAAUGGGGAAUCAGGGUUUUAUUCUGGAGAGCGGAGCCUGAGAAACGGCUACCACAUCCAAGGAAGGCAGCAGGUGAGGAGGUUACCCACUCGUGACCGGGGGAGGUAGUCAUGAAAAAUAAUCCAGCAUUCUUUUGAGGCCCUGUAGUUGGAAUGAGUCCAGUUUAAAUCCUUUGGUGAGGAUCCAUUGGAGGGCAAGUCUGGUGGCAGCAGCUGUGCGGUAAUUCCAGCUCCAGUAGCGUAUAU